rnacentral:rRNA from 1 species
AUUGAACGCUGGCGGCAGGCCUAACACAUGCAAGUCGAACGAGUGGCGGACGGGUGAGUCAUGCUUGGGAAACUGGCUUAUGGAGGGGGAUAACGAAGGGAAACUGUCGCUAAUACCGCGUACCAUAGGAUGAGCCCAAGUGGGAUUAGGUAGUUGGUGGGGUAACGGCUCACCUAGGCGACGAUCCCUAGCUGGUAUGAGAGGAUGACCAGCCACACUGGAACUGAGAGACGGUCCAGACUCCGACGGGAGGCAGCAGUGGGGAAUAUUGCACCAUGGGAGCAAGCCUGAUGCAGCCAUGCCGCGUGUGUGAAGAAGGCCUUCGGGUUGUAAAGCACUUUCAGCGGGGAGGCGUUACCCGCAGAAGAAGCACCGGCUAACUCCGUGCCAGCAGCCGCGGUAAUAC